rnacentral:misc_RNA from 1 species
AAUAUUGUUGCUGUUCCAGAUUUUAACAUGGGAGCAAUGGAAAACAAGAGCUUGAAUAUAUUCAAUUCCAAGCUUGUCCUGGCAUCCCCAGAAACUGCAACAGAUGCUGAUUAUGCGGCUAUAUUGGGUGUGAUUGGACAUGAGUACUUCCACAAUUGGACAGGCAACAGAGUUACAUGUCGUGACUGGUUCCAGCUCAGUUUAAAG